rnacentral:tRNA from 1 species
GGGCGCGUAGCUCAGUUGGUUAGAGCGCGUCACUGAUAAUGACGAGGUCUCAGGUUCAAGUCCUGACGUGCCCACCA